rnacentral:lncRNA from 1 species
CCUGUGACCUUACAUAAAUGUUAAGAAACCCUUAGUUAAUAUGAUCAGUAAAAUGUAUAUUUAACUAAGUAAAAGACUCCAAAAUGACUUAAUUUUGUUUUCAAACUCAUAAAAGAUCGAGUUGCCAUGGAAGUAUUUUCGAACAUUUUUUAUCAUGAUAAAGUAAAUUGAAUUGAUUAAUAAUUAUCCUAGCCCAUUUAAUGUUGUUUGUUUUUGUUGCUAAAGUUAUUCAUUCAUACAUUUAGG